GGCUUUAUAUUCAAUUAUGAUUUUAGACUGCAAUUCUAGAGGUGUAAAACUGUUACUAAGGCCU
rnacentral:tRNA from 1 species